AUCUUUGCGCUUGGGGCAAUGAUGUAAUUAGUGAGGUACUGACCGAGGCGCGUCUAUUGCUGGUUGAAAACUAUUUCCAAAGUCCCUCUCUGGCCCGGGCUUCGUCCCCGGCCAUUGAGAAUUUCUAGAAGGGCUCCCUCCCCCGAGUAAGGCC